rnacentral:rRNA from 1 species
UCCUACGGGAGGCAGCAGUGAGGAAUAUUGGACAAUGGAGGCAACUCUGAUCCAGCCAUGCCGCGUGCAGGAUGACUGCCCUAUGGGUUGUAAACUGCUUUUAUAUAGGAAGAAACGUUUCCAUGCGUGGGGAUUUGACGGUACUAUAUGAAUAAGCACCGGCUAACUCCGUGCCAGCAGCCGCGGUAAUA